rnacentral:tRNA from 1 species
GGUGGCUCAGUGGCAGAGUGCAUGCCUUGUAUGCAUGAGGCCCUGGGUUCGAGUCUCAGCACCA